rnacentral:rRNA from 1 species
UUAUGACAGAAUUGGCGGUAUUUAGUCUUUUCAGAGGAACUUGUCCCGUUAUCGACAAUCCACGUUUUACCUUACUUAGUUUAGUUAGAUCAUUAUGUAUACCGUCGUCGUCAGAAUUUUUUUAAUAAAUUUUAAUUUUCUUAGUACUUGCAAAUGGUAGAACGUCAGAUCAAGGUGCAGAUUAUGAUCAAGUGGAGAUGAGUUACAAUAAAUUUUAUUUACACGAAUUUAGCAGUGAUAUAGAUAAUGAGGUGGAUUUGAAAGUAAUUUCUUAUUAGAGAUAAAUAAUGAAUUAAUGGCUCUAAAA